rnacentral:lncRNA from 1 species
AUCACCACGUCAGCGUCAUAGAGGCGCUAUGUUAGCGCAAGUGAAUUAUAUAAUUUAAAUUUAAAUUUUAUAUUAUAAGUUUAAAUUAAAAUUAAAAAUUUAUUUUGAAUUAAAAUAUAAAUUCAAAGAAAUAUUUUAAUUUUAAAUUUAAAUUUUUUAUUUUGAAUUCAAAUUCAAAUUCAAAUUCAAAUUUUAAUUUUAUAUUUAAUUUUAAAUUCAAAUUCACAUUUUGAAUUCUAAUUUUAAUUUAAUUUCAAACUUU